rnacentral:rRNA from 1 species
GACGAACCGUGCAAACGUUGUUCGGAAUCACUGGGCUUAAAGGGCGCGUAGGCGGGCUCCCAAGUCAGGGGUGAAAUCUUUCGGCUCAACCGGAAAAGUGCCCCUGAUACUGGGAGUCUGGAGGGAGGUAGGGGUCUGUGGAACUCUCGGUGGAGCGGUGAAAUGCGUAGAUAUCGGGAGGAACGCCGGUGGCGAAAGCGACGGACUGGACCUUCUCUGACGCUGAGGCGCGAAAGCUAGGGGAGCAAACGGG